rnacentral:rRNA from 1 species
AGAGUUUGAUCCUGGCUCAGGACAAACGCUGGCGGCGUGCCUAACACAUGCAAGUCGAACGCACGUCUUCGCUUCGGCGGAGGGCGUGAGUGGCGGACGGGUGAGUAACACGUGGAUAACCUGCCUAGGUGUGGGGGAUAGCCUUCAGAAAUGAGGGAUAAUACCGCAUACGGCGGGGUGGAGGCGAGAGUCUCUGUCUCGGGAAAGUUCUUGCGUCGCAGGGCGUGAGGGCGCACCUAGAGGGGUCCGCGGCCGAUUAGCUAGUUGGGGGGGUAAGAGCUUCCCAAGGCGACGAUCGGUAGCUGGUCUGAGAGGAUGGUCAGCCACACUGGGAUUGAGAACGGCCCAGACUCCUACGGGGGGCAGCAGUGAGGGAUCUUCGGCAAUGGGGGCAACCCUGACCGAGCAACGCCGCGUGCGGGAGGACGCCUUUCGGGGUGUAAACCGCUUUUCUGGGGGACGAGGGAGUACGGACGGUACCCCAGGAAGAAGUCUCGGCUAACUACGUGCCAGCAGCCGCGGUAAUACGUAGGAGACGAGCGUUGUCCGGAGUUACUGGGCGUAAAGGGUGCGCAGGUGGCGGUGCGCGUGGGGGGUGAAAUCGCCCGGCUUAACUGGGCGGGGGCCUUCCAGACGGCAUGGCUUGAGCAGCGGAGGGGGACGUGGAAUUCCGGGUGGAGCGGUGAAAUGCGUAGAGAUCCGGAGGAACACCGACGGCGCAGGCAGCGUCCUGGCCGCUCGCUGACACUGAGGCACGAAAGCUGGGGGAGCAAACAGGAUUAGAUACCCUGGUAGUCCCAGCCGUAAACGAUGUCCACCAGGUGCUGGGCGGAUCGACCCGUUCAGUGCCGCAGCUUACGUGAUGAGUGGACCGCCUGGGGAGUACGGCCGCAAGGUUGAAACUCAAAGGAAUUGACGGGGGCCCGCACAAGCAGCGGAGUGUGUGGUUUAAUUCGAUGCGACGCGAAGAACCUUACCUGGGCUUGACAUGCGGCGGCACCAGGGGUAAUGCCCUGUCUCCUUCGGGAGCCGUCGCACAGGUGCUGCAUGGCUGUCGUCAGCUCGUGCCGUGAGGUGUUGGGUUAAGUCCCCUAACGAGCGCAACCCUCGGGGUCCGUUGGACAUCUUUCUCGGGCCCGACUGCCGCGCGCAACGCGGAGGAAGGUGGGGAUGACGUCAAGUCAGCACGGCCCUGACGUCCAGGGCGACACACACACUACAAUGGCCGGGACAACGGGUCGCGCUUGCCCGCGAGGGUUGGCCAAUCCCUAAAACCCGGUCUCAGUUCGGAUGGCAGGCUGCAACUCGCCUGCCUGAAGCGGGAGUUGCUAGUAACCGCGGGUCAGCAUACCGCGGUGAAUACGUUCCCGGGCCUUGUACACACCGCCCGUCACACCACGAAAGCCGGCGACACCUGAAGCCGUCGGGCGAACCUUGGGGCAACCCAAGGGGGCAGACGUCGAGGGUGGGGUUGGUGAUUGGGGUGAAGUCGUAACAAGGUAACC